rnacentral:rRNA from 1 species
UACGGGAGGCAGCAGGGGGAAUAUUGCACAAUGGGCGCAAGCCUGAUGCAGCCAUGCCGCGUGUAUGAAGAAGGCCUUCGGGUUGUAAAGUACUUUCAGUCGUGAGGAAGGUGUUAAGGUUAAUAACCUUAGCAAUUGACGUUAGCGACAGAAGAAGCACCGGCUAACUCCGUGCCAGCAGCCGCGGUAAUACGGAGGGUGCGAGCGUUAAUCGGAAUUACUGGGCGUAAAGGGCACGCAGGCGGUUAAUUAAGUUGGAUGUGAAAUCCCCGGGCUUAACCUGGGAAUGGCAUUCAAGCUGGUUAGCUAGAGUCUUGUAGAGGGGGUAGAAUUCCAUGUGUAGCGGUGAAAUGCGUAGAGAUGUGGAGGAAUACCGGUGGCGAAGGCGGCCCCUGGACAAAGACUGACGCUCAUGUGCGAAAGCGUGGGGAGCAAACAGGGAUUAGAUAC